GAGAUCAUGACCUGAUCAUGAGCCGAGGUCAGAGGCUCAACCAACUGAGCCACCCAGGCACCCCUGUUGUGAGUUGAUUUUUUACGGAGGCAUUUAUUUGUUGAUGUUUCUUCUGUGGAAGUGCUCUAGGCUGGGAAAGUGACAUUAAGCAGCAUUUUUGUGCUAGCUUGCUAAUGGGUCCUGGUGGUAUUACUCAUCCUGGAGUGGAGUUUAUAUGAACUGAUCGGCUUAUGUUUUAAAGUUUCUGUGAAAGCAAGCUGCUCGCUGAAGGCUUCUCCUUCACCUAAAUAGACUUAAGUCAACACUUGUUCCUGUGUGGGUGUCAGAAUUCCCAUACCUGAUUGAAAACCAUCCCUGUGCCCGCUGGAAAUACUGGGUGCGCCUCAGUGUUUAGACUUUGAUUUCAUUCUUCAUAUCUGACAAGUGAAGACUUUCCUGUGUUUUAAACUUGCUUAUAUAUUUGAAAAUACCCUUUAAAUACUUAUCUAGGAUUUUAUGUGUUUUCAGCAGGAACUAGUUUACAGAGCUGGCUGGCCACAUUGCGAGGAAUCCACUCUUCUUAAAGAUUCUGUUUUCUGAUUGAAAGCACCCUUAGACUUUGGUGUUUUGAUUUCCCUGUUUGUUUAUUUGUUUGUUUUUUGCCUCCAAUGUUUUCAAUCAAGUGCUGAGUUGUUUUCCAGAAGAGCGAAAGAUGAAUCCUCCUAUUGGAAACAUGCCAUUUUCAUGAAAUCCAAAGAAAUUCUUUUAAAAAUUCCCCUUCCAGCCACUUGCCUCCCCUACCAUCGAAAUCUCUGUACCUCAAUUUAGAUCUCUUUUCCCAGCUAAAUACUUCAUAUGAUUUAGGUUUACUCAUGAACUCUACCUUUUUCUUCUUGUGGAACCAUUCCCCUGAAUUAUCAGAAUCACUAACCCCUUCUUUCCCUUGCAUUGCACAUGGUUUCUUCUUCUUCCCUUAUCAAAUAAUUAGUGCGAAGCUAUCAUACUAAUCCACAUAUUUGUUCCAUCAUGCACUUGGAGAUUUGUGGAGAACAGAGCAUUUUUAUUUGAGUGCUUCUUGCAUAUCUGGUUCCAUUUUAGUGGCGUGUGGAGUAUGUAACAGACUCUCAGCCAUAUACUGCAGCUGUGUAAUAUGCCUCCACCCACAAGGAUCUUACCACCUGGUUGACGAGGAUAGACUUUUGUUUAUUUGUUUGUUUAUUUAUUUUGAGAGAGAGAGAGCGUGCGCGUGUGAGCAUGAGUGGAGGAGAAUCGGAAAGAGAGUGGGACAGAGGAUCUGAAGAGGGCUCUGUGCUGACAGCAGAGAACCCAGUGCGGGUUUGAACUCAUGAACUGUGAUCAUGACCUGAGCCAAAGUCGAAUGCUUAACCGACUGAACCACCGAGGUGCCCCAAGGAUAGACUCUUACAGCAAAGAAUUUUACAACAGUAUGAGACAACACAUGUUAUCAAUGGCUACAACAUUGAUGAGUAAGAACACAGAGAAGGGGGUGGCCCUGCAGGGGAGAAGAGGUUGAGGAAGGCUCUCCAGAAGCCGAGUUAGACUUGAAGACAUGGAAGGAUUUGGGCGAGGCUUGUUCUCACAGGGAGAACGCCUCAUCAAAUCCAGCGUGUCUAUGGAAGGCUCUGUAGAGGGACCCAAACGUUCCCCACUUCAGCCACAGAAAGUAAACAAUACCCAAAGAAGUCACUUCUGCAAGCAAAAUAACUCAGUGAUGCUUGAGUAAGUCCAUGAGGAGUACUUUUACAGAUGGUUUAACUGGCAGCUGCAUUUUGUCUGGUAAAACAGAAACCGAUAGGCAAUCAUUCUGUUUACUGAUAGUAACUCAGAAAUGUCUCUAACCACAACAGUUUCAUUUCGUCUCACACAUUCUGAGACAUGCUAACGUGGAUUAUUUCUUUACAAAGAACUUUAGAAUGUACACUUAUAAAUCCUUUCCCUCGCGGGGUAAAAUCUAGCACCUGUUUGGGCAACAAAAUGUGAGACACAGGCAGGUUGCUGAAAGGGAAGAAAGGGCAGUGCAUGUCAGAAUGUUCCAGCUUCCCAGACCUCCCUUCCUCUGAGCUCCUCUUCCAAGGAUGAUUUCUCUUUUACGAGUCCUUGGAAAUUAAUUUUUCUCUCAAAUAAACAUAGUUCCCUUUGUAUUCUUUACACAGUCUUCGUAUUGGUGGGCAAAGAGUUGCAUUUACCAGAGACCAGCGUGCUUCCCCACAAAGGGUUAUUCUCAGGAUUUUCCUGUCCGUUUUUCUUCCCACCAUUCACAUCUCUGUGUUUCAUAGUGAAGCCAAUGCCAGUUCCACAUUCUUCCCUGGAUUCUGUAGGGGUCUCGUCAUUCAAGGGCAAGAACAAAUUGCUGGCAAGCUCUUCCGCACAUGUUUAUAAUCACUGACAUUUGCAUCGCUGCGACUAAAAGAUGCAUUCUUGCUACACACGUAUAUGGAGGAUGGUUGGAAACAAUCUGUUUGGAGUUAGGCUUCCUCCCUUUGAUAUGUGUUUCCAAUUGCUAACCAAAUGCUGCCUUAGUUUUGUUCGUAGGAAGCUGAACUGACACCAACAAAAAACAGCCCAUUGUUUGGACUGUCUACGACACUUGACUUUCCCGGAGGUUGGCCUCACCAACUUCCAGGGAUCCAGGAAGAAGUCACCUGUGGGAUUUAGGAAAACCCAGCCAGAUGCUGCUGCCAUGCUUUUCCUGUGUGCCUGCAGAGUCUUGUGUUUCCUCUGUUCAACCCAGUUCGGACUCAAGUGUUCAGUCAUCAGGAGGUCUGGAUGGCAAGUUCACUGGAAGGAUGCUUUGGUGUGUUCCACGUGCUUGGAAUAGACUUGUAAAUAACUGAUGCUCAUUAAAUAUUUUGUGUCAUUGAGGCCACUGAGGUUCCUGGCAUGCUUGUUACUAAAGCCCGCUUGUUGCUUACCACACCUCUGCUGCCACAUCCGCCAAGUCCCAGGCUCAGAUCUGCAGGUUGGACUAUAAGCAGCCUGUUGGGUUGGGGCUGCCAUGUGUCUCCAUGUGACUUUGACCCAGGAGAGCAGGCAGCAGGCGGUGGUCAGAGCAUCAGCAUUGAAAGCUCAGAGGAGUGAGUGAUUACUGGAGCGAACUCAGAUCCUUGCCGGGCAUGGGGUGUUCUUGCCAACCCUGAGCCCUGCCCUCUGCCUGCUCUUCUUUUUCCUAACUGGCUUUCUUGCACACGGUCCUUGGUUCCUGUCUCAGGUGUCUUUCAGCCUCCUCUUGACUCUGUGAUUCAGGCCCUGAAGCUUCCUUAUUAGCCUUUUCUAGUUGCUGCCUGAUUCUAAAAAUUAAACAUCUUGUUACCUUAUUAUUAUUGUUUUUAAAUGCAGCCUGGCCCAUUUGGAAGAAAAAAGCUAAGAAAUCUAACUUACACUCUUGCUUCUUGUAUUGUAUGGGUACCAUUAGGAAAAUCAUGUUACCGUGGACUUUUUCUGGUCCUGGAAUUCAUAUUUAAAAAAUGACUUGGCUGGUGUUAAAUGGUUAAUGAGCAUGUACAACAUGCUGGAUACAGUAUGAGGCAUUUUCAUGAAGGGUUUCCUAUCCUAAACAUCUGGAACAUCUGCAGCAGGAUGAGAACCCGAAUUCAGGGCAGGCUGAACCCUAAGAACCAUGCCGUACAUGGUCUAUUAUAACUUUAGGACACUCUGAGGCCAGCAUGGCUAGAAGUUAAUUUUUAGUUAAAUCUUUAUUAUAUAGAUGACAAUAUUGAGAUACAGAAAAGUAAGAUGACUUGCUCAAGGUUAUAUGGAUGUUUAGUGGGAGAUUAGGGAUGGGAACUCUGUAUUCCAGCUUCUAGCUCAGUAUUUUUUCCACUAUGCAUCUUCCCUAUGGUUCGGAAUCAUCUUGGAGUAGUACAGCCCUAUCAAUGGAUGUAUUAUGUAAUACAUCCCUUUACUCAGGUGCCACAUAAUCUAUGCUUGCUUUAAAAUGUUUUAAUGUACAUGUGUUCAAUCAUAUGCAAAAGUAGAGAACAGAAAAAUAAACCUUUGUAUGCAGAA